rnacentral:miRNA from 1 species
AGUGGACCCAUUAAUGCACUC